rnacentral:rRNA from 1 species
UACGGAGGAUGCGAGCGUUAUCCGGAUUUAUUGGGUUUAAAGGGUGCGUAGGCGGCUUUUUAAGUCAGCGGUGAAAUUUUGCAGCUUAACUGUAACAGUGCCGUUGAUACUGCAUGGCUAGGAUUUGGUUGCUGUGGGUGGAAUUCCAUGUGUAGCGGUGAAAUGCGUAGAGAUGUGGAGGAACACCAGUGGCGAAGGCGGCUUCCUGGUCUGUAACUGACACUGAGGCGCGAAAGCGUGGGGAGCAAACAGGAUUAGAUA